CUCCUCCUACUCCUCUCCGCAUCCUUAAACUCUCCAUCGCUGAUUCAGCUCUCAGGGAGACUCCGCCUGCAGCCACUGCUUCACUCUGCACGGGCCAGCCGCCCUCUCUGGACCGCCUCCACCACGAUCAAGUGUCCUCCUGGAGACAGGAACCGUGGUGGACGAGUCGAGUGGCAGGAGGACUGGCGCCGCCGGUGGUUACAAACAUAAGUUGUGAAAAGGUGCGCUCAGCUGCAGGAGUCCACCUUGAAGUACAUCUGACACAG